UGUGAAGGAAGGUUGGUUCUGUUGUGAAGGAAGGAAGGUUGGUUCUGUUGUUGUGAAGGAAGGUUGGUUCUGUUGUUGUGAAGGAAGGUUGGUUCUGUUGUGAAGGAAGGUUGGUUCUGUUGUGAAGGAAGGUUGGUUCUGUUGUGAAGGAAGGUUGGUUCUGUUGUGAAGGAAGGUUGGUUCUGUUGUGAAGGAAGGUUGGUUCUGUUGUUGUGAAGGAAGGUUGGUUCUGUUGUUGUGAAGGAAGGUUGGUUCUGUUGUUGUGAAGGAAGGUUGGUUCUGUUGUGAAGGAAGGUUGGUUCUGUUGUGAAGGAAGGUUGGUUCUGUUGUUGUGAAGGAAGGUUGGUUCUGUUGUUGUGAAGGAAGGUUGGUUCUGUUGUUGUGAAGGAAGGUUGGUUCUGUUGUUGUGAAGGAAGGUUGGUUCUGUUGUUGUGAAGGAAGGUUGGUUCUGUUGUUGUGAAGGAAGGUUGGUUCUGUUGUUGUGAAGGAAGGUUGGUUCUGUUGUUGUGAAGGAAGGUUGGUUCUGUUGUUGUGAAGGAAGGUUGGUUCUGUUGUUGUGAAGGAAGGUUGGUUCUGUUGUGAAGGAAGGUUGGUUCUGUUGUGAAGGAAGGUUGGUUCUGUUGUGAAGGAAGGUUGGUUCUGUUGUGAAGGAAAGUUGGUUCUGUUGUGAAGGAAGGUUGGUUCUGUUGUUGUGAAGGAAGGUUGGUUCUGUUGUGAAGGAAGGUUGGUUCUGUUGUGAAGGAAGGUUGGUUCUGUUGUGAAGGAAGGUUUAUUUUGUUGUUGUGAAGGAAGGUUGGUUCUGUUGUGAA